UGGGAUGUAGCCAAGUGGUAAGGCAACGGACUUUGACUCCGUCACCCGUAGGUUCAAAUCCUGCCAUCCCAGCCA
rnacentral:tRNA from 4 species